AGGGUCCCUGGCCACCUGGAGGUAGCCUUGGUGAUGGUGUGCUUUGUCAGGCUUGUGCUCACAGGGAGCCCAUCCUGUUUCAGGCAGCAGACAACAAUUGAAGUGACCCCAGACCUUCGUCAAGAAAUAAGCUGGAGAACAAUGGAGGAAAAUGCUCAGCUUAAGUCUCCUGUCCACACCAAAGUCCACAUACACACACACACACACACACACACACACACAAACACACACACCCAACUAUAUUGAAAGGAAGUAGAAAAUUGGUGAAAAUUAACCAAGCAAAAUUUGCAAAGCUGACCAGGGGCCCAUUAAAGCUCACACAGUGCGUUUACUGCUGAGCGGCCCAGAGUGUAUUCAGAAGGAGCUAAGUGGUGCUUUUAGCAUUUCUGGCAGAGAAAAGUUACCUCAGAAAUGGCCUGACAUGCUAACAGAAAUGGUGACUCACUUUCAGAGUGCAGAUUUCCAUAAUAUCAACAGAUCUUUCAUAAAUCACAUCCAUUAUUGCUUUGGACGAAUCUGUUUUGUCAAACAGCCAAGAAAUAUAUGAACCUAUGUUUAGCAUUGCAACCAGGGCUCAUGGGGUUGAAUAAUUAAUAUUGUGGAAAUGGCAAUACUACUCAGAACAAACAAUCUUUAAAUUCAUACCCGAAUCACUGGAGACCGGAGAUGGACAAAGCAACCUUGGGGAAAGAGACAACGCUGGAGGGAUCGCCAUACCUGAUAUCAGGUGGUGUUUUACUGAAGGAGCAUACAUUAUAGUCACAACCAAAAUAGGAAACUGAUUCUCUUGGAGGCUGGGCGACCAUCCAGGGCCAAUCUGGGGACAGAUUGGGGAAUCACACAGUUAUAUUAGUAUCUGUAAUUUAAAGACUCACUUGACUUAAUCAUUAAAAUUCCCGUCGUUGCUACAGAA
rnacentral:lncRNA from 1 species